CGGCUGCAGCCCGGGCCUGUGCCAGCACAAAGCCCGGCUCGUGCCCUCAGGCUGCCAGCUGCUGCUGCUUCACUUGUCACCUCAUGGGAGCUGCGAAGGCAUGAGACCGCUAGCUGCAGCUGCUGAUCGAUAAAGUCUAUCUACUGCAAGACAAAGGCAACUAAAGGAAAAAUGUUUAUAAUUCUUUAUGCUUUCCACCUGGACGG